AACGGGUCGGGCGGAUCUGCCGCUGGCGCCGGCGCAGCCCCUCCCACGUGCUCCUUCCGGCUGAUUUAUUUCUCCACCACGAUGCCAGGCACGGGCACCCUGUGCCAAGCCUGGUUAAGCGCCAGGAGUCCAAAAUGCCUGCCAUAGUCCCUGCGCAAAGUUCACGGCCUCGUGCCAGGGACAGACAGCGCCCCCUCCCCACCCCAACACAGGGUGGUGAGUGCGAUGGCAGAAGGCGCGUGUCCCGGCGCCCCUCCUGGAGUAGGAGGGCUAAGCCUGCCCUGCGGGGAGACCGAAAGGCUGAGAGGGACCUAGGACUGUGGGGGCCUGGGGGGAGGGCUGCAGAAACCCCAGAGCAUGGUGGCAGAGGCAGGCACAGAAAGCAGGACAAAUCUCACACCUGACCCCAGCAAGCCUUUCCUGGCACACCUCUUGCCAAAUGCUGAGCACUCUGGAAACAGCCAGUGCAGGCGGCCUGUCCCGCCCCUGUAGCUGCUGCUGGGAGCCUCCCUCGCCUGCGUCCUCCCAGAAUCUGGCCUCACUUCUGCAGGCCUGGGGUAACGUCUUGGGGUCAGCGCCCCAGGAGAGGAGGCGCCUGGAGGCAGCAGAGAUGUUUAUGUAACAGCAGCCAGGCAGCCUGGAGGAGCAGAUUUUCCAUAGAAGGAAGCGCGGGGCUGUGCAGCUCCCAGGCUGAGGACUCUGCCCACCACGACGUCCUCUGCUCCCGAGAAGAGAGUGACCCAUUCGAUGUCCACCCGUCAGGCCACCCAGCAGCCAGGCACGCUCAUAAGCCCGCGUUACGGAUGGUGCGGCCGGGUGCACAGGCCCGAGGGAAGCACAGGCCUCGGCCUCCCAGCUCCCAACCCCUGCACCACCCACAGCCGGGAGUAUCCCAUGGACAGCUGUGGCCGAGGAGAAGCCAGGGAUGAGGGGGAUGGGCCUCACCUCCCCACCAGCCUGGGAAGGGGGUGGGCCCCUGGCAAGUAGGUGAGAAGCUUUUUCAUUCACAAGUUGUCUGGGCUCCCCAUUCCUCUUUGUCAGGCCAUCAGGUGUGGGCAGUCGGGGAAGGCUGGGGUCCCGACACAACAGGAGUACAUCUGCUGGCCUAGGGCCUGGAGACCUUCUCCUACAGGUCGGGGGGCAGCCCUGGGCAGCGGGC
rnacentral:lncRNA from 1 species